rnacentral:rRNA from 1 species
UACGUAGGGUGCAAGCGUUAAUCGGAAUUACUGGGCGUAAAGCGUGCGCAGGCGGUGAUGUAAGACAGUUGUGAAAUCCCCGGGCUCAACCUGGGAACUGCAUCUGUGACUGCAUCGCUGGAGUGCGGCAGAGGGGGAUGGAAUUCCGCGUGUAGCAGUGAAAUGCGUAGAUAUGCGGAGGAACACCGAUGGCGAAGGCAAUCCCCUGGGCCUGCACGAGACGCUCAUGCACGAAAGCGUGGGGAGCAAACAGG